rnacentral:lncRNA from 1 species
AAAAGCAACCUUUGCUUUUGAAUAAAAAGACAUCAUGAAUAUUUAAAAGUUGAUAAAAGAAGAACGAUACAUUAAAACAGGUAAACAUAUACUCUCGUUUAAAGGAUCUAAAGAAAGGCUCAAGUUAUACAAACACAUGCAUAACAUCAGUUAAUGUUUUUGUGCUAUACAUAUCACUUAUGUAACAAGAAUAUACUAAAACAUUUCUACUUAAUCAUAUAUUACAAAGUCAAAUAUUAAACAUGAUAUUUAAUUAGAGUUGUCUCUCUUUGACAACAAAAUAUGAAAAGCCAUAUGUCGAUGAUUUCUAAAAAUCAAUAAGCAAUUUUUUUGUUUGAAAAAAAAAAUAAUUACAAGGAGCUGUUGAAUAGUCAUGGUUUUAUCAAGAACUAAUUUUGUUUCUACCAUAAUAGGUGACUAAUAUAAUUUGUAUUAAUAAUUCUGCACAGUUAAUUUGGAAGGUAACCAUUAUCGAAGUAAUGACAUAUAUAUCUGCCAACAGUUAAUUCCUAUGAUAAGAAACAAAACAACAAAUCGUGACCAAAUUCUUCACAGACAAUAUAAUUAGCUGACAAUUACAUAUGACUUUACGUCACUUUAAGAACCAUAUUGAUUGGUCAGUUCUACGAAAAUAAAAUGACAGACACUUAUUCAAAUUUGUAUACAAUUGUUUUAUUCUUUUUUAUUUUGGUGAGUGGUACUUGUCAGGGCUUCUUAUUGUUGUGAUGGAACAAGCUAAGCUUUUGUCAAUCGACUUACAUGGACUUACAAAUCUAUGUAUCUAUUGACCAGCCUGCCCUUAAAAUGAACAAAGGAAAAUGGUUUUUUUAGUGGCCAUAAUAAUGAUGGUACAAAAGUGCAGGGAUUGAGAACAAAACUUUUGUUUUUUACAGGUUAUCAACAGUCUAUUCUAAUUCAAGGUAGAACAAAUAUAGAACUG